AUAUAGUAUUGUAUGUAUAAGUAGUAAAGGAUGAAGGUAAGCUAAACUUCAUUAAUCCUAGCUUGACUACAAAUGCAAAACAUCAAAUUGUUCCUUUUUCUAAAAGAAUUAUAGUAGUAUAAUAUUUUUUAGAAUAUUAGAUUAUAAUUUCUCUAAAUAAUCUGGUAUUUUUAUUUGAGAUGCUCUUAAUUAGAUAACUUAUUUUUAAGCAAAGUUACAAUUUUUAUAUAUUUUUCCUUUGUACUUGACUUGUAUAAGUAUACUUUACAUACAGUUUUGAUAUGGACGUGG
rnacentral:sRNA from 1 species